rnacentral:sRNA from 20 species
GUCACCUUCUCCCCAUUAAAAUGGGAAGCUUGGGAAAAUCAUUUUAGUGUAAGGUGUCCAGGGUAAGUUAGUUAUCUAGCUACGUUAUGGUAGUUACGAUACCUUAAAGUGCCUCCCUAGCUUUAAGCUCUAUC